AUACCUUUCUAGGCCUUUUGGCUAAGAUCAAGUGUAGUCUCUGUUCUAUAACUGAGAGGCGAGUACGCCAUGACGCAAAACAUCUGAAUCAGCAGGAAUUUUUUGUUCCCAUUAGUCUGUCUAAAUCCGAAAGACUAUAUGCUCUAGCAGGAUCAUAUUUUACAUUGACUCGCUUGGUAAGGGCCCUUACC
rnacentral:snRNA from 1 species